CCAGAUCGUCAGCUAAGGUCCCUAAAUGUAAGUUAAGUGGUAAAGGAUGUGGGAUUGCACAGACAACCAGGAUGUUGGCUUAGAAGCAGCCACUCAUUCAAAGAGUGCGUAAUAGCUCACUGGUCGAGUGAUCCUGCGCCGAAGAUUUCCGGGGCUAAAACUUACUACCGAAGCUACGGCAUCAGUAAUGAUGGGUAGGGGAGCUUCCCAUACGGGUUGAAGCAUGACCGUAAGGACAUGUGGACAGUAUGGGAGUGAGAAUGUUGGCAUGAGUAGCGAGAUGUGGGUG
rnacentral:rRNA from 1 species